rnacentral:tRNA from 1 species
GUUAGGAUGGACGAGUGGUCUAAGGCGCUAGACUCAAGUUUUAGUCCUCGUAAGAGGGCGUGGGUUCAAAUCCCACUUCUGACA